rfam:Rheinheimera sp. SA_1 Contig_1, whole genome shotgun sequence.
GUUGUCAGCUGGAUUAGUGCCUGGCGACAGCUUGUUUAAAUAAUCCUGGAGGAUUCUAUGUCACUAACUACCGCUGAAAAAGCAAAAAUUCUGGCCGAUUUCGGCGUUGUUGCU